GCAGACACAUUCCAGCCAAUCAGCAGCAGACCCUCCCUCCCAGACCCUCCCACCUCCUGCACAGCAUCCAUUUUGAAGCUGCAUUCUUAGUGAGCUGUCCAGGAGGUGGGAGGGUCUGGGAGGGAGGGUCUGCUGCUGAUUGGCUGGAAUGUGUCUG
rnacentral:miRNA from 1 species